AGCAUAGAUCCAGAGAUUCCCAAAUAGGUUAACCUUUUUAACUGCUGCUGAAUCCAUGGGCAGGUAAGAGACAACCUGGCGAACUGAAACAUCUUAGUAGCCAGAGGAAUAGAAAGCAAAAGCGAUUUCCGUAGUAGCCAGAGGAAUAGAAAGCAAAAGCGAUUUCCGUCGUAGCGGCGAGCGAAAUGGGAGCAGCCUAAACCGUGAAAACAGGUUUGUGGGAGAGCACAAUAUAAGCUCUGUGCUGCUAGGCGAAGUAGUUGAGUCCUGCACCCUAGAUGGUGAGAAUCCAGUAGCCAAAAGCAUCAUUGGGUUACGCUCUAACCCAAGUAGCAUGGGGCAUGUGGAAUCCCGUGUGAAUCAACAAGGACCACCUUGCAAGGCUAAAUACUCCUAGGUGACCGAUAGCGAAGUAGAAAUGUGAGGGAAAGGUGAAAAGAACCCCCAUCGGGGAGUGAAAUAGAACAUGAAACCGUAAGCUCCCAAGCAGUGGGAGGAAAAUGAUAUCUCUGACUGCGUGCCUGUUGAAGAAUGAGCCGGUGACUUAUAGGCAGUGGCUUGGUUAAGGGAACCCACCGGAGCUGUAGCGAGAGAGAGUCUUCAUGGGGCAAUUGUCACUGCUUAUGGACCUGAACCUGGGUGAUCUAUCCAUGACUAGGAUGAAGCUUGGGUGAAACUAAGUGGAGGUCUGAACCGACUGAUGUUGAAAAAUUAGUGGAUGAGUUGUGGUUAGGGGUGAAAUGCCACUCAAACCCAGAUCUAGCUGGUUCUCCCUGAAAUGCGUUGAGGCGCAGCAGUUGACUGGACCAUCUAGGGGUAAAGCAUUGUUUUGGUACAGGCCGCGAGAGCAGUACCAAAUCAAGGCAAACUCUGAAUACUAGAUU
rnacentral:ncRNA from 1 species